GACGAACGCUGGCGGCGUGCCUAAUACAUGCAAGUAGAACGCACAGUUUAUACCGUAGCUUGCUACACCAUAGACUGUGAGUUGCGAACGGGUGAGUAACGCGUAGGUAACCUGCCUGGUAGCGGGGGAUAACUGUUGGAAACGAUAGCUAAUACCGCAUAAUACUAAUUAUUGCAUGAUAAUUAAUUGAAAGGUGCAAUUGCACCACUACCAGAUGGACCUGCGUUGUAUUAGCUAGUAGGUGAGGUAACGGCUCACCUAGGCGACGAUACAUAGCCGACAGGAGAGGGCGAGUGGCCAGACUGGGAGUGAGACACGGCACAGAGGGAUACAGGAAGCAGCAGGAGGGAAUCGGCGGGAAUGGAUGAAAGUCUGACCGCGAAAGGCCGAGGGAGUGAAGAAGGUUGUCGGAUCGGAAAGCUCUGUUGUAAGAGAAGAACGGGUGUGAGAGUGGAAAGUUGACAGUGUGACGGUAUCUUACAAGAAAGGGACGGCUAACUACGUG
rnacentral:rRNA from 1 species